CAAAGCAACGGAAGGAAACCUCCGUGAGGUAUGCUCAAGGCAAGGGUCGAACCGCUCGGCUGGGCACCCAAACACCCCACUAAGAAACUCAGGGAGACUUGGACCCUUUAGAAUGGUCUUGUGGCCCCAGUGGCUUAAGUCAGACGACGGAGUUCACUCAGCCCUCGGCCGCCGAGCGGAGUCUAGGGUAAGGGACCUGCCACACGUACAUGUCCCGCAUCCCACAGUGUGGCGGGCCUGGGACCACUGAAGGAAGAUUCCUGCCCCGCCCAACGGAGGGAGAGCGACGGCAGGAGGGGACGUAAGGGGCCUCUUCCGGGAGGUCCCGAAGGCCUGGCUUUACCCGAGCUGAAUCUGAAGGUCCGUAGGACCAUACAAAACACGCCGCUCACCUGCAACGGCCUCGGCCCGCCCGGAUGGCGACAGAUGGCCCGGGCCAAAGACUUCGCCAGCACUGCACUCCAAGGAACCGGGAAAAUAGAGAACAUGCGCACUUAGAGGCCGGCGCCGUAAACACGACCGGCACUGUCGUAAACGCCUGCCUGCUUCUUCCGGAUUCGGCGGAAGAGCGCGCGAGCCGUAAAGCGAAGGCGCACCCGGAAAUUCAUCGCUGGUCUUUGCCCUGCGUCCUCUUUAGCCUCUGAGGCGCCAAGACGCGAGAGACGUGAUUACGUCAGGCUGCAUCCGGGGACGUCCGGAGAGGGCGUUCCCGAGUGGAAAUGAGACUGAACUUGGUGCCGGAGAAGCUGGAGGUGGGGCGAGGCUGACAGCCCCGCUGUGUCCCACAAUGCUCCGCGGCCUCGGCCCCGCUGCCUCCCACAGUGCCCCGCGGCGCCUGCGCGCCUUAACCCGUAGUCCGCGGUGUGGCUCUGGUGUCCGGGGGAGGCCGAGCUCCUCCGCUCCUGCUAGUUCGCAGUGGCGGGAGUCGAGGCCCAGCAGGGUGGCUACCUACGUUUCCUCAUGUGCUGCUGAGGAGCUGGUCCUCAGGCUGAUCACCCACUACAUAGAUGAGAAGACAGGCCCAAGAAGAGGGAUCUUGCUGAGAGCCGCUGAUGGAGGUGCCAUAGGAGUGAAAGCCAGCGUGCCCGCGCAGGAAGCUUGUGCCCCUCGUUCACUGCCCAUGUCCCCAGUGCUCUGAAAAGUAAAAUCACUUGGUGGCUAACCUGACAUGGACUGGAUGUGAGAGCUUGGGACCACCCGGAGGCCAGCAACGGGGGCCACAGGCAUGUUACACCUCUGCUUCUCUGGGAGGAGAAGCUCCGGAGACAUUGGGGAACGUGGGAAAUGGGCCCGACUUCCCUCGGAAGCUGUGCACGGACUGAACCCGGCUCUUUGGGGAGACAGAAGGUGGCCUGGUGGCUCCUCCCUAUCAUGAAACCCACACCUUUGUGCACAGCCACAGAAUUCAACAUCUUGGGGGGAAUGAAUGUCAUGUCUUUCGAGAUUUCUCUCUGGCUGUCCCACCGGCCCUCUCUGCCCCUGCUCCAUCUCACCAGAGCAUUUAGCACCA